GUCCACGCCGUAAACGAUGGAUGCUAGCCGUUGGCAGGCUUGCCUGUCAGUGGCGCAGCUAACGCAUUAAGCAUCCCGCCUGGGGAGUACGGUCGCAAGAUUAAAACUCAAAGGAAUUGACGGGGGCCCGCACAAGCGGUGGAGCAUGUGGUUCAAUUCGAAGCAACGCGCAGAACCUUACCAGCUUUUGACAUGGCAGGACGGUUUCCAGAGAUGGACUCCUUCCCUUCGGGGACCUGCACACAGGUGCUGCAUGGCUGUCGU
rnacentral:rRNA from 1 species